rnacentral:rRNA from 1 species
UACAGAGGGUGCAAGCGUUAAUCGGAAUUACUGGGCGUAAAGCGUGCGUAGACGGUUAUGUAAGUCAGAUGUGAAAGCCCCGGGCUCAACCUGGGAAUUGCAUUUGAGACUGCAUAGCUAGGGUGCGGAAGAGGGAAGCGGAAUUUCCGGUGUAGCGGUGAAAUGCGUAGAUAUCGGGAAGAACACCAGUGGCGAAAGCGGCUCUCUGGGGACCACCUGACGCUGAGGCGCGAAAGCGUGGGGAGCGAACCGG